UGGGGAAUCUUGCACAAUGGGGGCAACCCUGAUGCAGCGACGCCGCGUGAGCGAUGAAGCCCUUCGGGGUGUAAAGCUCUUUCGGCAGGAACGAUAAUGACGGUACCUGAAGAAGAAGCUGCGGCUAACUACGUGCCAGCAGCCGCGGUAAUACGUAGGCAGCGAGCGUUGUUCGGAGUUACUGGGCGUAAAGCGUGCGUAGGCGGUCUUGUAAGUCUGGUGUGAAAUCUCCCGGCUCAACUGGGAGGGUGCGCCGGAAACUGCAAGGCUGGAGUAUGGGAGAGGUAGGCGGAAUUCCUGGUGUAGCGGUGAAAUGCGUAGAUAUCAGGAGGAACACCUGUGGUGUAGACGGCUUACUGGACCAUGACUGACGCUGAGGCACGAAAGCGUGGGGAGCAAACAG
rnacentral:rRNA from 1 species